rnacentral:rRNA from 1 species
ACAAGCGGUGGGGUAGUGUGGUUAAUUCGAUGCAACGCGAAGAACCUUACCUGGUCUUGACAUCCCGGAGACCCUUAGGAAACUAGGGGGUGCUUCCAUCUGGAAGAAUCUGGAGACAGGUGCUGCAUGGCUGUCGUCAGCUCGUGUCGUGAGAUGUUGGGUUAAGUCCCGCAACGAGCGCAACCCUUGCCUUUAGUUGCCAGCAGUUCGGCUGGGCACUCUAAAGGGACUGCCGGUGUUAAACCGGAGGAAGGUGGGGAUGACGUCAAGUCCUCAUGGCCUUUAUGACCAGGGCUACACACGUACUACAAUGGCCGAUACAAAGGGCAGCGACACUGCGAGGUGAAGCCAAUCCCGUAAAAUCGGUCUCAGUCCGGAUUGGAGUCUGCAACUCGACUCCAUGAAGUUGGAAUCGCUAGUAAUCGUGGAUCAGCAUGCCACGGUGAAUACGUUCCCGGGCCUU